rnacentral:ncRNA from 2 species
UUAAGGCACGCGGUGAAUGC